UUGUGGGAUAUCAGGAUAUGGUACUGUAUAUUGGUAUCCAACAUCGUUUACUUGAGGAUCGGAAGCAUUUUGGCGUGCAUGGUCACUUUGGUGAGCAUAUCAUUGUGCAUCUCAACAUGAACACCAAAAUGGUGAUCUGCCCACCGCGCCACCUGAGGGAGUUAGGGUGGUAGCGGCGCCACCGGCGUGGAGAUGAAAUGGCGAGCAGGGAGCACCGAGGACAAAGACACCCACGUCGAACACAGGUCCGGCGGCGACCAUCGGUUACGCGCGGCGGUGCGUAGUGGCGGCGAACAUGAUUAUCUCGACCUUUGCCAGCGCGUCCUCUGUUCGAUCUUGGCCCCACUACCACAUUCAAACGGUGAAACGAUUGGUGGGUGUACGGGGUCAGCACCACGGCAGCGCACCAUGCCCCUGCUGGUUUCCUCGGGGGUUCUAUCCAAGCCCAGCAAGGAAAUGAGACUUGAGAUCCUGAGCCCGUUUUGCUGCAGGGAUGGACAGUUGACGGCCCUGGAGAGAGCCGGAUGAGGGAAAGCUGCUGCCAGGGAAGAACAGAGAGUACGGGAUGUGCAUCUCAGUACACUAAGGUUUCUUAAUUAAUAUGUAGCAUGUCUUAACAAAGCAUGAAUGUGUUCGGUUUGGUUUGUUUUAUGUAUUUUAAACAUGUCUGUAGUGCUUCCACUAUUAUAAUAUGCGAAUAUGUAUUUGUAAAGACUGGGCGGUUCAGUUGAUGUUCUUCGGUUUAAUUAGUGAUUGAAGAAGGAACGCAGAGAAAAGGCUUUUGCAGCUUUUGCACUGUCUUUCAGUUAGUGAACAGAACCAAAUUGAGUGACAGUUCUUGAUCUUCGGUUUUCAGAGUGCAAGGUAUCAUUUAAUUUCUUUA